GGAGCAGUUGGUAGCUCAGUUGGUAGAGCGUUUUGUGUGUAUGACGUCCUGGGUUCAAAUCCCAGCUGCUCCC